AAAAAAAUCUGGGAGAUAGGGAUUGCAAGCUGCAGCCGUGCGGUCGCUCCCAUCCCAGGACUCCGGCGAGAAGAAACGACGGUGGCAGCAGUCGAGACUCCACUCAGUCGCGGUGGCGGCUGUCCAUUCUUUUCCGUUUUCUCCUGCUCUUCUACUCUUGACUAAGAAUGUUGUGCUUGAGGAACUAUUGGUCGCCUGCAUUUGCCUUAGUACGGGAAGGGGCUGCUGUUCGAUAUCCUGGGGAAGGAGCUACUGUUGGACAUCCUCCAAAGUUCAAUUCUGUAGUGGUUUGCGGUGCCAGGGGUCCAAGACCGAGAUAUCCCCGUGUGUGGAAAACUCGUAAGAAAAUUGGGACUAUUUCCAAGUCACAGAAGCUUGUCGAAUGUAUUAAAGGUCUGUCUAAUGUAAAGGAGGAAGUUUAUGGCGCACUUGACUCAUUUGUUGCAUGGGAACUGGAGUUUCCCUUGAUAGUAGUAAAGAAGGCACUGAAGACACUUGAGGAUGAAAAGGAAUGGAAACGAAUAAUUCAGGUUAUUAAAUGGAUGUUCAACAAAGGUCAAGGGAAGACAAUGGGAAGCUAUUACACCUUGUUGAAUGCUUUGAUCGAGGAUGGACGGAUUGAGGAAGCAGAAGAAUUAUUUGGAAUGAUAUUUUCACGAUAUAUGGAGGGUUUGCCUCGUACAUUUUUCAUGAGAAUGAUUUCUUUGUAUUACAGUGUGGGAGCAUACGAUAAGAUGUUUGAGGUUUUUGCUGAUAUGGAGGAACUAGGUGUUAGACCUGAUGGUUCAAUUGUCCGGAUGCUAGGUGAUGCAUUUCAGAAGUUAGAGAUGAUGGACAAAUAUGAAAAGUUAAAGAAGAAAUACCCGCCACCAAAAUGGGAAUAUCGAUACAUUAAAGGCAAGCGCAUCAGGAUGAGGGUUUACCCUGAUAGUAAAGCCGAAGAGGCGACAAAAGGAGACCCUGGCACAGAUGAACUGCAAGAGGCAGAAAGUAUACACCUUGAUAGUGAAUUGGAAGAAGAAGCAAGCUCUGGCCUCGACAGGAAUGGAUUGGAUGAUGCAUCUUCUGGAGACCUUGAAUAUGUAUAGAUCAGACCUUCCAUUGGUAUUUUUGCGCCUGCUUAAUCAAAGCAGGCAAGAGCAAUGAACUGUUGCCCUGCAGCUUGAAGUUUUGGUGAUAGCCAGUUUGCUGCUGCUGCCAUAUUUGGAAAUGGAAAAGCAGCUCUCGUGUUCAAUGGAUGUCCAGCGGUUUAGCAUCGUAUAUUCAUCAAAUGAUCUGGUGAUCCUAUUCCAUGGCUAGCUGUACCUGAUUGCUUCACGAAGAACUUGUGAUUGAUUGUUAAAGUUGAUAUCCUGGACUGGACAUCAGACAGGGCAGUACCAUUGAUAUCUUUGCCAUAGUAGAUCGCGCAAGAGCUCUGUAUCUCUUUGUAUAAAGAGUCAUCUGAAGCCCAGGCCCAUAUCAACUAAUAGGAAGCAGAGUUUGGCUUA